AUUGAACGCUGGCGGCAGGCCUAACACAUGCAAGUCGAGCGGAGCGGCGGUCGGGAGGGUAAUGCCUAGGUAUCUGCCUGGCAGCGGGGGGUCACGUACGGAAACGGGCCCUUAGACCGCAUCCUAUCAGAUUAACCUAGGUCGGAUUGGCCUUGUGGUGGGGUAAAGGCCUACCAAGGCGACGAUCCGUAACUGGUCUGAGAGGAUGAUCACUCACACUGGAACUGAGACACGGUCCAGACUCCUACGGUAGGCAGCAGUGGGGAAUAUUGGACAAUGGGCGAAAGCCUGAUCCAGCCAUGCCGCGGGUGUGAAGAAGGUCUUCGGAUUGUAAAGCACUUUAAGUUGGGAGGCGUUACCAACAGAAUAAGCACCGGCUAACUUCGUGCCAGCAGCCGCGGUAAUUC
rnacentral:rRNA from 1 species